CACGUAGGUGAAGUGAUUUACUCACGGAGCUGAAGUCAGUCGAAGAUACCAGCUGGCUGCAACUGUUUAUUAAAAACACAGCACUGUGCAAACACGAAAGUGGACGUAUACGGUGUGACGCCUGCCCGGUGCCGGAAGGUUAAUUGAUGGGGUCAGCGCAAGCGAAGCUCCUGAUCGAAGCCCCGGUAAACGGCGGCCGUAACUAUAACGGUCCUAAGGUAGCGAAAUUCCUUGUCGGGUAAGUUCCGACCUGCACGAAUGGCGUAAUGAUGGCCAGGCUGUCUCCACCCGAGACUCAGUGAAAUUGAACUCGCUGUGAAGAUGCAGUGUACCCGCGGCAAGACGGAAAGACCCCGUGAACCUUUACUAUAGCUUGACACUGAACAUUGAGCCUUGAUGUGUAGGAUAGGUGGGAGGCUUUGAAGUGUGGACGCCAGUCUGCAUGGAGCCGACCUUGAAAUACCACCCUUUAAUGUUUGAUGUUCUAACGUGGACCCGUUACCCGGGUUGCGGACAGUGUCUGGUGGGUAGUUUGACUGGGGCGGUCUCCUCCUAAAGAGUAACGGAGGAGCACGAAGGUUGGCUAAUCCUGGUCGGACAUCAGGAGGUUAGUGCAAUGGCAUAAGCCAGCUUGACUGCGAGCGUGACGGCGCGAGCAGGUGCGAAAGCAGGUCAUAGUGAUCCGGUGGUUCUGAAUGGAAGGGCCAUCGCUCAACGGAUAAAAGGUACUCCGGGGAUAACAGGCUGAUACCGCCCAAGAGUUCAUAUCGACGGCGGUGUUUGGCACCUCGAUGUCGGCUCAUCACAUCCUGGGGCUGAAGUAGGUCCCAAGGGUAUGGCUGUUCGCCAUUUAAAGUGGUACGCGAGCUGGGUUUAGAACGUCGUGAGACAGUUCGGUCCCUAUCUGCCGUGGGCGCUGGAGAACUGAGGGGGGCUGCUCCUAGUACGAGAGGACCGGAGUGGACGCAUCACUGGUGUUCGGGUUGUCAUGCCAAUGGCACUGCCCGGUAGCUAAAUGCGGAAGAGAUAAGUGCUGAAAGCAUCUAAGCACGAAACUUGCCCCGAGAUGAGUUCUCCCUGAGACUUUAGGUCUCCUGAAGGAACGUUGAAGACGACGACGUUGAUAGGCCGGGUGUGUAAGCGCAGCGAUGCGUUGAGCUAACCGGUACUAAUGAACCGUGAGGCUUAACCUUACAACGCCG
rnacentral:rRNA from 2 species